rnacentral:rRNA from 1 species
UGCCCACUGAUGGAAAUUAAAGGGCUGCAGUAUAUUGACUGUACAAAGGUAGCAUAAUCAUUAGUCAUUUAAUUGAUGACUUGUAUGAAAGAUUGGAUGAAAUAUAAACUGUCUUAAUUUUAAUUUAUAAAAUUUAAUUUUUUAGUUAAAAAGCUAAAAUACUUUAAAAAGACGAGAAGACCCUAUAGAGUUUUAUUUAAAUGAUUAAAUUUAUAAAUUUAUAUUAAUUUUAUAUUGAAAUUUGGAUUUAAAUUUUAUUGGGGUGAUAGAAAAAUUUAAUUAACUUUUUUUAAAAUUUGUUUACAUAAAUAAGUGUUCAAUUGAUCCAUUUUUAUUGAUUAAAAGAAAAAAUUACCUUAGGGAUAACAGCGUAAUUUUUUCUUUUAGUUCAUAUAAAAUAAAAAGUUUGCGACCUCGAUGUUGGAUUAAGAUAAAAUUUAAAUGUAGAAGUUUAAAAUUUUGA